GCGCUGUUGUACGGAACAAAUGAUUUUGAAAAUCACUACAGGUGGUUCAACUCCACCACAGCUCU
rnacentral:tRNA from 1 species